GAGUUUUCCAGAUUUGCUGGCAUAUUGAGUGCAGCACUUUCACGGCAUCAAGCACUAGUGACACCUGUGCAGUUCUGAAAUUUCAGAUGUGUGUGUGCAUGCUCAGUCUUGUCCGACUCUUUGUGACCCCAUGAAUUGCAGCCCCCCAGGCUCCUCUGUCCAUGGGAUUUUCAAGGCAAGAUUACUGGAGUAGGUUGCCAUUUCCCACUCCAGGGGAUCUUCCCAACUGAAGGAUUGAACCUGGGCCUCUUGCAUCUCCUUAAUUUGCAGGUGGAUUCUUUACCACUAGCACCACUUGGGAAUUAAGCUUAAUCCUUCUUAUAGCUUGUUUUUUAUUUAAACCUUUCCUCUUGUCCCUAACCAGUAUUAUACAGUUUAAAUUUUUCUGUAAUUCUAAAUGCAUUGGAUCACUGGUGCUUUAAAAAGCUUGCAGCCUUAGAACACAAGCACUUUUUUUCCCCCCAGUGUUACCACCUUUCUUCUAACAAAGACCUGAAUAUUGGUCUCAUACACGAGCUUCUUACCUACAGAAAACGUUCAUAUUUUCAGUUUGCUUGUUUCAAAGAAAAAAAGGGAAGAGUUUCAAAUUAAUUUUUGGUGUCCACGAUGACUAGAUACAUCAGUGCCUGCUUACACUAAUGCCAAGUGGGUAAUAUUGACAGUAGUGAUUACAAACUUCUUUUGACAUCUGCUUCCCCAUGGUGGAAGAAAACUGUUUGUUGCAGUGUCUUUAUCUUCCUCAUUACUGGAUUCUACAACCUUGUGGUGAUCCUUUUCAUCCUACAAGUUCUAUGUAUCUAAGUAAAGGCACCAAAAUAAGGAUUGAAAGAGAAUUGCCUGUGAUAAUUGUGCAAAUUAUGGUUGCACACGUAUGGCAAGGGAAGAAGAACCUGGACCUUGCUCCUGGCUGCUGAAUGUUGUGAAUAAAUUUCAGAGAGGAAAAACAAUUACUGUGAGUAAUUUUCAGAAAAAGAAACAAACGGCACCAGAAGAUAUGUUGUGCACAAAAUGCUAAAUAGAUAUUUCAGCUCCCACUUCAUUCAGUGUUGUUCCCAACUAAAUUGGAUUUAAGACUGCUGUUGGAAAUUAAAUUCUUNNUUAUGACUUGGGCUUGACUGUUUGAAACAAGAGGGUCUAUACUAGCCUCUCCAUGGACAUACCAACCUGCUUCUUAACGUGGCUCUGUUUCUCACUGCAUGUAUGGAUCUUUGGCUCAUGAGAAUCAUGAAUGUAGAGAAUUAAAUAAAAAACUGCAGCAAAGAUGGCACUCCAAUAAGAUUCUCUGGGCAUUGAGAC
rnacentral:lncRNA from 1 species